rnacentral:rRNA from 1 species
ACCGUAUAGGGGAGCCGUAGGGAAACCGAGUCUUAACCGGGCGUUAAGUUGCAGGGUAUAGACCCGAAACCCGGUGAUCUAGCCAUGGGCAGGUUGAAGGUUGGGUAACACUAACUGGAGGACCGAACCGACUAAUGUUGAAAAAUUAGCGGAUGACCUGUGGCUGGGGGUGAAAGGCCAAUCAAACCGGGAGAUAGCUGGUUCUCCCCGAAAGCUAUUUAGGUAGCGCCUCGUGAAUUCAUCUCCGGGGGUAGAGCACUGUUUCGGCUAGGGGGCCAUCCCGGCUUACCAACCCGAUGCAAACUGCGAAUACCGGAGAAUGUUAUCACGGGAGACACACGGCGGGUGCUAACGUCCGUCGUGAAGAGGGAAACAACCCAGACCGCCAGCUAAGGUCCCAAAGUCAUGGUUAAGUGGGAAACGAUGUGGGAAGGCCCAGACAGCCAGGAUGUUGGCUUAGAAGCAGCCAUCAUUUAAAGAAAGCGUAAUAGCUCACUGGUCGAGUCGGCCUGCGCGGAAGAUGUAACGGGGCUAAACCAU